rnacentral:rRNA from 1 species
GAUGAACGCUGGCGGCGUGCCUAACACAUGCAAGUCGAGCGAUUUACUUCGGUAAAGAGCGGCGGACGGGUGAGUAACGCGUGGGUAACCUGCCUCAUACACAUGGAUAACAUACCGAAAGGUAUGCUAAUACAAGAUGAUAUAAGAGAUUCGCAUGGAUUUCUUAUCAAAGCUCCGGCGGUAUGAGAUGGACCGGCGUCGGAUUAGCUAGUUGGUAAGGUAACGGCUUACCAAGGCGACGAUCAGUAGCCGACCUGAGAGGGUGAUCGGCCACAUUGGAACGGAGACACGGUCCAAACUACUACGGGAGGCAGCAGUGGGGAAUAUUGCACAAUGGGCUAAAUCCUGAUGCAGCAACGCCGCGUGACCGAUGAAGGCCUUCGGGUCGUAAAGCUCUGUCCUCAAGGAAGAUAAUGACGGUACUUGAGGAGGAAGCCCCGGCUAACUACGUGCCAGCAGCCGCAGUAAGAC